rnacentral:rRNA from 1 species
AUUGAACGCUGGCGGCAGGCCUAACACAUGCAAGUCGAGCGGAGCGGCGGACGGGUGAGUAAUGCCUAGGACUCUGCCUGGUAGUGGGGGAUAACGUCCGGAAACGGGCGCUAAUACCGCAUACUAUCAGAUGAGCCUAGGUCGGAUUAGCUAGUUGGUGGGGUAAAGGACUACCAAGGCGACGCUCCGUAACAGGUCUGGGAGGAUGAGCAGUCAAACUGGAACUGAGACACGGUCCAGACGCCUACGGUAGGGAGCAGUGGGGAAUAUUGGACAAUGGGCGAAAGCCUGAUCCAGCCAUGCCGCGUGUGUGAAGAAGGUCGCCGGAUUGUACAGCACUUUAAGUUGGGAGGCGUUACCAACAUAAUAAGCACCGGCUAACUUCGUGCCAGCAGCCGCGGUAAUUC